ACCGCGCGGCGGGCGCGGCCCGGCCGCCCGCCUUGCGCUGCUGCUCCGCAAAAGCCCGCGAAGCCUAGCUCCGGGGAAGCAGAGGUUCUGAGGAAAGAGGAGUUGAUGAGCACCAUUCCUCUGAUAUAUGUGACUCUUUCUGUGACAUCCUGACAAAAUGGUGCCUACAGACACAAAAUUCUUCCAGAAAUCUUGGUGACUUCAUAUGGGUUAUAAAAUUAGUCCAUCAAACAAAUGAAGAAUUUGACAACAAUCUGUAGAAGUCUCACAACACUUACAAGGUCUGUUUGAAGGAGCAGUUUGAUUGGAUCACUUGGUACUGAAGAACAUGCAUCGGUGCUCCAAAACUAUUCAUCAUUUUUUUAUCAACUAAUAAAUAA